AGAGCAGCCUCCACUGAUGCUGAGUGGAGCGGCCACUCCGGCCUGCGAACAUGAGCUUCCUGCUUGGGGGCUGAUGUUCCUGAACGGCGGAGAGCAGCGUGGCUACCUUGACUUAGGGGUUUGGUUGUUUCGCCAUCAUGCUGCUGACCUGAGGAGGAAAGCAUCGGCGCUGGCAGGAGUGGCCGGCAGGCUGACACAUCACGGGGAGCAACGAGAACAUCUGGGAAGAACGUCCGUAAAACGAAGAUGGUUUUUCUAUUUUGUGGAUUUCUGUACCCAUGGGCAGUGCUCCCCAGUGAACAAGGGCUUCACAUCAGAAUGAGCAGGCUCGGAAGCAGCCAUUACCACAGGAAACGCCCCAGUGCCGGCAUCAGCAGGUUCUGCUACAGGACCAACCUCCACGCAGGUGAGUUCUGGCUCCCAUUCUCCCCCACAUACCUUCGUUUUCUGGAAGAAUGGGUUUUGGGGAGAAAACUCCUAUUAGAACAUCAAGCAAGGUAGCCAAGAGGCAAUCGACCAUAUAGGUCUGGAUUUAAGGAGAGAGGUCUGAGCUGGGGACAUAAAUCUCUGGGUCACUGGCUUAUAGAUGCUAUUUAAGCCACAGACUUGAAUGAGAUCUGAGAGACAGAGGACGGACAAAGAGAGAAGUCCAAGACCUGAG
rnacentral:lncRNA from 13 species